AGCAGGGCUUCCUGUCCCUUGCUCAGCUGCCUUUCUUUGUCUGGAACGGUUGCUAAUCACCAUAUAAACUCUUAGGCUUUUCUGCUUUGCUUUGUUGUUGUUUUGUUCUUUUCCUUUUUUGACAAGAUGGAUAUCAAAAAUAGUUGCUGUGCAAAAGUUAGUAGUCUUCUUCAAGAAGAAAACAGUUCCUUUUCUAAUACUAUCCUGUGAAAUUGCUUCACCCAUUCCUUUAUUUUAAAGCCAAAUGUCAGCAGAAUACUGCUGUUUUUAUCUAAAUAAUUUUAAUAUGUAAGUAUUAAUGCAUUUAAAAAGAUGUCUGCGUUGAGAAAUACUUCACUAGUGUACUGCCUGUGAAAACUUUGUUCAGAUUUCUGGCUAAGACACCAGUCAGUAUACUGGGGCUGCACAUUACAUACAUGUAUUAUUUUAGUCAGGUAUUGUUGUAGACCAAGCCUGGUUAUAAUAGAGUAGACUAACACUAGUUUGUUAUCAGUUAAUUUUUAAUUAUUUCCAGUUUACUCUCUUGUUUUCCUCAUACUCUUCUCGUUUUCAGAUUCCAUUAAUCGGGUCCAUUUCAUUGUGUAAGGCUUCAGUUUCAAAGAAAAUAGAAUUUGAUAUAAGCCAGGUUACUUCCAUCUUGAAAGGAAAACAAUUAAAACUGUAGAUUUAAAAUGGUUAAUUAUCUGUGACAAUUUUAGCCUAUUCUGUAUACAACUGAUUUUUAAAACUGUAGACUGUGUUAAGUGUUACUGUUGUUUAAAAAUGGGGAAAAAAACCUGAAGCAAAUCUGCUUAAAGAGCUGUUGGUUCUCAUUGCUGACCACAAACACUAUGUUCAUGUGUACUCGUGUUAUUUUUUGAGCUGCUACAUUAGCCUGCAGACGUAUUUGAAAAUUUAAGAUGAAUAUAUUUCUUGCAAAGUCCGUUCCUUUCUGUGGUAUCUUGUCCUGUAACUGAAGUGUAGUUAUUAUUUUAUGGAAAUGUUAGAACUUCUGUACCAACUUUGAAUAAAAUGAAAACUUU
rnacentral:lncRNA from 1 species